rnacentral:lncRNA from 1 species
UGAGCUCUGCAAUGGCUUCAAUCUGCUGAUGGACAGCAGUAAGGGCGUCAUCACUUUUGAGAGUCUGAAAAGGAACUCUGCUCUUCUGGGGUUGGAGGGCUUGUCCGAUGAUGAUCUGUGGAGCAUGCUGAGGGAAGGGGAUUUUGAUGGUGAUGGGGCCCUGAAUCAGAUGGAGUUUUGUGUGCUCAUGUUCAGAUUAAGCCCUGAGUUGAUGGAGGAGUCUGAGUUUUGGCUGGAAGAAGCCCUUCAACAGGAGCUCAAGAAUCAUCAUUGAUCUUCAUUUUUUUCUUCUUUAGUUGUUUCUUUACUGAUUUGAGACCUUUUGUUGUAAUGGAUCGUUGAUGUUGGGUUUGAAAAUUGAAAUUUACACACAGAAAUAUAUCUGUAGUAAACCAGUGGGUAUUUUGAUUUGGUUUACACUUUACCAAAAUGUAAAACGAGCCUGAAUGGAAACAUUAAUAUAUAUAGUGUUCUUCCCUGCUAUACAGGGGAAGUUUGAAACAUUGUUGACCUCUGUCCCUGACUCGUAUAUUGAUGGCAUCUCUGAUUAGCAACCCAAAAUGAAUCUGACCGUCCAACCACUGCAAUUAAAGAUAUUCACUAUACUGAACCACAACAAUUUCUUCAUUUAUAAUAUUAGGCAACCGACAUGAAUAGGCUAAAGAGUCAAAAUACAAUAGCAAUUCAGAAUUGUAAUUCCGAGUCUUUCAACUUUAGGAGUUCUUGUGUUGAAGUGCCACAGAAAGGGGUGCAAUUUGGUGGGGUUGGGUUCGGGGUAAUUUAACCCAAAUUCGAAUUAAGAAAUAAUUAAUUCAAUCAAAGCUCUUGAUAAUGAUUAAAAAGGUAAAGUAAAUUUAUAUAUCAUCAUGAAAGAAAUUAAAAAAAUAUGUGAUAUAAUUAUAAUUUGUUUUUUUUUCUUAAUAAUUUAAAAAGAAAAUGAAUAAGAUGAAUAUUAUUACUAGUAAUCGAUAUAGGUUAGACUUGUGUUAUUCGAACCUUAACCUAAGUUCAACCAAAUUGAGUUUAGAUCGAAAAAAUUUAAAAAUGAUUAUCCAAACCUAACCUACUCAAUAGUUGAAUUGGAUUCAAUUUGAAUAGGAGAUUUGUCUAAAUUGCACCCUAAACUAGGGGUGCAACUUAAGUUGGCCCAACCCAAACCCGCGUUUGGCCGAGCUUGGGCAAUACAUUUUAAAUACAUGGGUUGGGUUAGGUUUUUUCAACCUAACUCAAUUUGGAUUAGAUUUGGGCUAAAGUUUAGGCAACUUGAGCCUAACUCAAACCUAAUUUAAUGUUUAUAUAAUAUACAUAUAAUUUAUAUCGUCUAAUAUAAUAAUGUUCAUUUUCUUUUUCUAUUUUUUAUAUAAAAAAAUAUCAAAUUAUAUUAUAUCACAUAUUUUUCAUUUAUUUUAGAAAAUAUAUAAAUGUAUAUUUAUUCUUUUGUUGCUAUCUUGAAAUUUUGCUUUAUUUACUAUUUAAGUUUUUAUAUAAAUAUAUUAAAAAAAAAUUUAAAAAUAUUAAAAAUUGAUUUUGAAUUAUAUAAUCUGAUUAACCCAAAUCUAACUUGAACAAUUCAAAUUCAACUUGAACUUAAAAAAAAAAAAUGAGAUUGGAUAGUGCAUGGCUUAAGUAUCUCGAAUUAGAGUCCGGUUUAAGUUGAUUUUGAGUUAAUUGUUUCUUAAAUUGGAUUGAGUUCGAAUUAGUCAUUAACACUAAGCCUAACGGGAAUUACUUUGUAAAAAUUUAUUCAAACAUGCCUUUGCCUUUGUGAUCAAUUCAAAUAUAAGCCACUUAGCCUUAUUCGUUAGUAUGUUAAGAAAUGUUAGAAUGGAUUUGGGCCUUGUCUUGUAGUCCAGCCCAUCAAACUUAGAAAAUGUGAUUAUCAUCUUACAUGCAAAAAUAAAUAAAUAAAACCAAAUAGGGCCCAAAUCAGUUUCCUUACGUAAGACUCAUGCAUCAUGAAGAAGCAAAGGAAUGAUCAUUUGAUGGAUCGGAGCGUGUGAAACGGCAUCGUUUUGAGAAACGGACCCGCUAUAGGUGAACGGUUGGAUAUACCAGUCAUGCUGCUUUGAUCCAGAGCCAGAGCCAAAGCUAUUUCUUUUUCUUUUCGGAGCUUUCUUGCACACCAAACAGAGGGUCUUGGAUUUUGCCGUGGCGGAAGGUUUUGAGUAGGGAUGGGUAUGAACAGGGGUAGAUUCUUGGAAUAGAUGACUGAUUCUGGAAGAAAACUUUUUCUGGGAUUUGCUUCAAAAUUCAAAGUAGCAGCAGGAGCAUAAUGGGAAAGAGAGGGAAAGUCAAAAACGCGGAGCAGAGUUUUUGUGCAGAGGAAGAAAAGGUGAUGGAAUGGGGGUCGGGUGGAGACUUGGAGUGGAGUGGAGAAGAUGAGAAGAUGGGUUGGGAAACGGAUAAUCUUAAAUAAUGCGUGUUUGACUAGCGCAAUCAGCGCGUGCUUUUCUCUUCGACGACUUUCACUCAAACGACAUCGUUUUAUUCAUUCUACUGUGCCUGUGAUCCCACGCGACAACGUUAUAAUGGCCUAAGUGCUCUCUGUGCUCCACGUACGUGUCUCCCACGAUAACGAACUUCUCUUCUACUCCAUUUAUGAUUUACCCUAAUGAGAGAUCUUCAUUUUGGGAAUGGUUUUUUUUUAAAAAAAAAAAAAAAAAAUCUCAUAUUAUGCAAUGCAGAAAAACAUUCUCGGAGUUUUUAUUAGUUUGUUUUCGUAUGUUAAAUGAUUCUUUCUUAAAUAUUACUAAUAAUUACUCAAACCGACUCUAAAAAUAAAUAUUACUAAUAAUUACUCAAACCGACUCUAAAAAUAUUUAUAAUAAUUAUCGCAUAAUUUAUAGUAAUAUCAUUUAUAUUUUUUUUUAUAAAAAAUGAAAAUAAUAAAUUAAAAUUAUGUUUUAUACUAUUUUAUUUUACUAAAAUGAUAAACAAAAUUAUUUCUCUUUUUUAUAAUAGUAAAAUAUUAUCUUAUUAGCAUUUUAUAUUUUGGUACAAAAAAAUAAGUGAAAAAGAAAAAUACUUUGGACAAGUUGAACCCAACCCUAUCCACAAGUAGAUGAAUAUAACCUCCCAAAAACGGGGCAAAAACACUAUUGAUAUUACAAACUUAACUAACAUUAUGAUGAAUAAUAUUUCCAUUCAAAUUGAUUUUGGUAGAAAUGUUUUCUUAAAAUUAUUUUUAGAAUAAUUAUUUAUCAAGUGUGGGUUUUUAAGAAGUAUUAUAAAUGAUUUUUCAAAAUUUUAAAAAUAAUUUUUAAAUUUUAUUAAAGGUUUGAUUUUUUUUGAAAAAAUACUUUUUUAUUUUACUAGUGUUUUCUUGGAACAUUGUCAAAUGGACUCUAACAAAAUUUAACCCGCUUCCCCACAAAACCCUCCUCCCUCUACUCUCACAGAUAGGAUGUGAUGUCCCACAUCGAAUAAGGAAUAAAGUUUUUUAUACUAACUUGGUAUAUGUGUUUUAAAACCGUAAAGACCUCUUUGGGUUCAAAGCAAAUAAUAUCUAUACGGUUGAAAGUGUGAGAUGUUUGCUAACUUUUUCCUCUAUCCCUUCUCUCAUGUAAACAUCAUGCUCCUAUUGUGUCCCACAAGAUUACGAGUUAAACAGAUAGACAUCAACAUCAUACAUAUAGAAUACUGCUAACUUUUUCUUCUAUCCCUUCUCUCAUGUAAACAUAAUGUUUCUAUUGUAUCCCACAAUAUUACAACAUCAGGGUCGAAGAUUAGCUCUAAUACCAAGCUUUGAUACCAUUUAUAAUAACAUGUUUCUAAUCAUGUAGAUAUUGUUCGUUCUUAUGCUCAUAUGACUUUAAAAAUGUAUUUACAAGGUCAAGAGGAGUUUAUAUCUCAAUGUGGGAUUUCACAAUAAACUCUCACGUCAAGAUUAAGGAUCAAUUCAAAUACCAUUUAUGAGGACUUACUCCUAACUGUGUAAAUAUUGUCUGUUAUAGACCUAAGUUUAUAAAGUUAAGAGAGUUCAUAUAUAUAUAUAUAUAAUGUUAUGAACUUUUUCUUCUAUUCAAUAUGAGAUAUCACCAUCAACUUCGCUUCCUUUCCCUUUCCUCAUGAAGAUAUGAUGUCUUCAUUAUGUUUUAUAGGAUUGCGAAACCAAAUAAAUUUUCACACCAAGGUUGAAGAUUAGUUUUGAUACCAUUUGUAAAAAUUCACUCUCAAUUGUGUAGAUAACUCAAGUGGUCCUCAUAAAUUUAAAAUGCAUUUAUAAGGACUUUAAAAUGUGCUUACAAAGUUAAGAUGAGUCCACACGUAUAUAAUGCUAAGAAGUUUUUCCCUUAUCCGAUGUAUGAAAUCACAAUUACACAUUCCCUCCCCCUUCUCUCCCUGAUACAAACACAACCUCCCAAACAAACAAUACCCCUUAAAAAGGUCAAACAAGUUUCCAUAUUAUGGUUAAACAUCGACUCUAAUACUAUUUAUAAUAAUUUACUUUUAAUUGUAUAAAUAUUGUCUACUUUAUACCUUAAUUGCUCUCAUGAUUUUAAAAUGUGUUUAUGGUUAAAAGUAGUCCAAACAUACACAACAACGAAAAACUUUUUUUUUAUCCAAUAUGGGAUAUCACACUAACAAAAUAAGUAUUUUAUAAUAAUGAAUUGUUUUGAACGUUAUGUACUACAUAAUAAGCUACUAUGCUAAAAUUUAAUAUUUAAUUUCUUAAAAUAAUUUUAGUAUUAAUUAUAUUGAAUAUCCUAAUUCAAAACUUAUUAACUUAAUGUUAUUGAAGACAUUUGUGAAUUGUAUUAGCUUUUCCAACAAGGCAGCAGGCUUCAACAUUAUGGGGGGAAGGGAGGCUGCAGUGGCAUGUGGAAUUCUUGAAGCAACAGCCAUUGUCCAUUGUCUCCAUGCAUGCCAUUUUGUGGGGCUCCUCUUCAAAUUAUGAACUAUGAUUGUUGUCAUCAUAAAUACAUAAAUAAAUAAAAACUUUAUACUUAAAAAUGCAUUUUUUUAAAUAAAAUAAUAGGGUCGGUUGGAAACUGCUUUUUAUGAACGGUUUUCUAUUAUAAAAAAAAUACAAAAAAAAUUUUAAAUAAUCAAAAACUAUUUUCUAAUACUGUGUUUUAGAUAAUAUCUUGUAAUUAUUUUAUAUUAUUUUCAUUUAUUUUUUAAGGAAUAUUUUAAUAAAUAAUUAUAUAAAAAUAUAAAUAAUUGAAAAUAAAAGAUUAGAUAUAAAAUUUAUUUUUAAAAAUAUUAAAAAUGGAUUAAAAAUAUUUUAAAUUUUCAAAUAAACUUUCAUUUUAUAAAAAUAAAAACAAAUUUAAAAACUAGUUUCAAAAACUAUUUUUUAAAAUUAUUUUAAAAAAUAAUCAAAGUCCAUAAUAUCUAUUAAAAAAUGUUUUUAAAAAUAAUUUUUGAAAACAAUUUUUAAAAACUGUUUUUUAAUAUUUUAUAAAAUAAAAUUUUCUUUAAAAAUUCGAAAUAUUUUUAAUCUAUUUUUUAAGUUUUUAAAUAUGUUUGAAAAUAAUUUGUCUAUAUAUAUUACUUUAUUUUUAGAGACAUUUUCAUCGAGAUUUACAAUGGGUUCUUACAAUAGGAUUCAAAGUCAAUGAGCCGCCUCUCUUAUAUAAUCUUUUUAUUUAUUUAUUUUCUUUCGAGAUUCGUUCAAGAUUCCUAUUCAACAGCAACCUUUAUUUUUUUUUAGUAAUUCUAAUUUUAUUAUUAAUAAAAAAAAAAAGUUGACUCAUUGCCAUGUCACGGUUACCAAAUUUAUUUAUUUAUUUUUUGCUUUAAUUGGAAGGAUAAUAAAUGUGGAACGACAAAAAUACAGAUCUAACUGGCGAUCAAACUAAUUAAAUCCAUACCUAGAAUAUUGUAUUAAAUUAUAAUUUUAAUCCUUACUACUAAACCUAGGAACCAACAAGGACAUAAAAAAGAGGGUUUUGGCAUUUUCCAUAGAAAUGUUAAAAAAAAAAAAUCAGAAUAAAAUAUUCCAACAUAGAUAUUAAAAUAAUUAAAUAAAAAUUAUAAAUAUAAUUUAACAUGAUACACCGUCCCUGGCACAUGAUUACAAUAUAUCACGUCCUAGUCUCUUAAGAACAAGCAGAGUCAUGAAGGCACCACUUGUAUUUUUUUUCUUUUUUAAAUUAAUCAACAUUUUGGUCAAAAAUAAAAAAAAUCGGUGACCUCAUGGCCAUGUCACGAUUACCUACACUGAUUUUUUUUUUAUACAAGAAAAAUUGGUAAUAUAUAGAAAUCUUAUUACAAAAAAUUUAAAAUAUGGUUUGGUGUUAUAUCCAUUUUUAAAUUUUAAUUUUAAUUUAUUAAUAUAUAUAUAUAUAUAUAUAUAUAUAUUUAACACUUAAAUAUUAAUAAAUUAUAAUUAUAAUUAUAAUAUAAAUAAAUUAUUGUUUUUUUUAUUUCAAAGAAAAAAACCCUAAAUCAUCAAAUUUUGAAGGAAAAUGUGGUAAGUUCUGAUCUGCAAGCAAGCAGGAUAUGACACGGAAUUGGAAUUUGUGAAGGCUUUGGAUAAUAGAAAGUCAAAUAAAAUCGUCCAAUGGAGCGUCCAAAAUUGAUCGAUUCAAAUAAUUGACCAUGUACCUUGGUGUUCCCCAGUUGCCUUCCAACUGUUCACCUUUUGUAUGCAAAGUCAACGGGCCAGAUUCGUCGAGGCGCGCCAUAUGAUUUGUCCACGUGUACAAAAAUUGGUUUCCAUUUGUCCUUGGAUUUCUUUCAUAUGAAAACUCCUGGGAAUAAUAAUUAAAAAAAAUAUUAAAAUGGCAUUUUCUAGAGUACUUCAAAUGAUGAUGAGCGUGACAACAACAUAUCAUCACGAGUCCUGAGUAACCACUUCUCCACAAAAACGGCGCCGUUCUGAAACGAAUCGGUGUCGUUUUGGUACCUAAUUAGUUUUGUGAUUAGCCUUUAAUUUAGGGCUAAAUCCAUAAAUUAAACCAACCGCAACUCUAUAUAAAGCCCCCCUCUCUUCCAUUUUUAAUCGUCAACGUUACCCAAUACACAGAGAGAAAAGAGAGAAGCGAAAGAAAGCUUUCAGGAGUUCAACAAUGGUGACCAAAGUGUAUAUUGUGUGAGUCUCUCUAAAAUUUUUCUCUCUACAAAUCUCUGUAUAUUUAUGUAUGCCUUUGCGCAUUUCUGGAUUUUUCUUUCUAAACUUCAAUAAAAUUUGUUUGGCAUUUGAUUGCGCCAAUUAGGUUUUUCUGAUUGUUUAGUUUUUCUAAUUUUUGUUUUGGAUUUGAUUGGAUUCUUCAGGUAUUGUGAUCGUUUUGGUCUUUGUCCUGUUUGAUCACUUUAGGUUUUUCUAAGUUCUGUACUUUUCUGGUUUAAAUCUUGGAUCUAUUUGCUUUGAUGCUUUUCCAUGGCUAGAAAUGAAGUGCGAAAGAAAAUUUUAUCUCGAUCCGUUAGAAUUGUGCUGUAUUUGUUAUGUUGUUUUUAUAGUUAGAAUUGGUUAUCACAGCUGUUGAGCUGUAUCACAGCUGUUGAGCUGGGAAAUGCUGCUUAUAUUUUUAGUUCGUUUGUUUCUUGAAAAAGAUGGUUCAGUGGUUGUGGUGACUUGUCAAAUAAAUUUAAAAAUAUGAAAAAGUUGAAAUUCCAGUCAAAUUGUGUUUUUGGUGGAGUCCUUCUUUGAUCUCUGAUUUUAAUCAAAAUUAAAUUUAAGAAAAUGUAGUUUGAUGUUCUGCUUUCAUGGUAUUUGUAAAUCUCUAUAUAAAUAAUACCACUAACUGCCAGGUUUGCAUGGUUGAAAAUGGGGGCUUUUAAUUGCCAUUACGGCAUUAGCUUUAGCCUACUUAAUCUAUUGAUUGAAUAUAGAUGAAAAUUUCUCAUAUUAUUAAAUCAUUUUUACCUGAUUAUAUACCUAGGAAAUGCUGUAGUUCCCUGCAGUUCUACUUAUUCAUAUGAAAUUAUAUGGGAUUAUUUCAUAAUUACUGGGAAGGUGAUAUCGACAUGGUUUAUCACCUCAGAAGAAACUUAGGUAGUCUAUGUCUCUUUUUCUAUAUAAAUGUUUAAAAGAAAUUGAUUUUCAUUAAAAGAAUAGAGAAUCAGAAAUAUUAUUGUAAUGUUCUGGUGGAACUUUCAUUUUCUUUCAAUUAGAACCUUUCCUGGCAAAAUCUGUAGGCAGCUAAUUAUUCUAGCUGAAAAAAAUGAGGCUAAGAUUUUGAUUGAUAAGAGAAUAAUACAAGACUAAAGGGUUAAGAUGGAGAUGAUACUUGCAGGUUUUCAUGUAAGGGUUCCAUUGACAUUUAAAGAAUCUAAAAAGACAGCUGCAAACCCUUUCACUUCUGGUUUGCUUCGUAAGGCAAUAUUAUUACACGUUGGUAAUUCUCCCUUCCACAUCAAUCAAUGAGAAGGGAAUAGUUUUAUCAUAGUUGGUAUAUUUUAGAUAUUUUCUCUAGUCAUUUCCUACCUAACUGAAUACUAGGGCUUGCAUCAAAGUUCCAUUAAUAAAUAGAUAUACCUAAAUAUCCCCAAACCCAAACAAACUGGUUUGGCUAGGUGGCGUAACUUUGCAGUUCUGUUUUAUAUCAGUGGAGGAAGGAACUAACAAAUAAUAACAGUAAAUGAAAAGGGCAGGAGAGGUUGUAUUUAAUCUCUUGUAGGUAUUUUAUGGAACUGCUAGGAUAUCUCAUUGUGAUGCCAUUGAGUUGACUUGAAUGCUGUAGGGAAAAUUUUUGGCUACCAGCUUAACUCAAAGAGUUAGUACAUCCUUAAAUUUUUUUCUCUCAAUAGUGGUGAUUUCAGUCUUUAAAACUCAACAGAAACCUUGACAUAUGUAUUUUAGCCUAAAUAACCAUCAGUGGCAAAAUAAAAGUAUGUUGCUUUCUUUUUUUAUUCUUAAUUAUGAUUUUGUACUUAUGAACAUAAAAAUGUUUUUUUUUUUUUUUUUUUUUAAGAAUUUAUAAAGUGGGUCAUGUUAUGCCAUUCAACUCAUGGGUUCCAACUUGUCCCUUACUCUUCUGAAUGCUGUGUGCAAAAACAUGUUACAAUGCUGAUGCAAACCUUUCAAUGGAGUAAUGUACUUGGUCUCAUAAACUAGAGAACACAUAAUUGUAUGUAUCUUCUUGACUUGAAAUUCUUACCAAAAACUUAUCAAUUUCACUCAUCAAGUCCUGGAUUCUAGAUAUGGAACUGAAAAUUAAUAAAUGUGUGCUAAACUAUAAGUUGUUCCUUAUGGUCUAAAUAAAAUUUGAUAAAAAAAUUUCCACACUAUGAUAAGUUUACAAAUACUGUAUAUUUUAAUAUUGGCCACUUAAACUUUGAUAUAAAAAGGUUCCACUAUUUGACUUGUGCAUUAUAUUUGUAUAGAAAAUGCAUUUCACAAUUUUUAAUCUCUCAGCAAUAUAUUUUUAUGCUGAAUUAUUCUAUAAAAGUAGGGCAAUUUGCUUCUCACUGCCAUUAUGUCCACUUUCUAGUUAAUUUAUGUUAACUAACAGUGAUACAGGUUUCAGCUUUUUUCUUUUUCUUUUUUUUUUUUGCAUUCUCACGUACUUGCUACAAUCUUUCCUUCCUUUUUUUUUUUUUUAUAUGAAUGGGGUGCACCACUUUCUUAUUCGGAAGUAAACAAUGAUGUUCAUUAUUUUGUUAAAAAUAUUUUUAUCAAUUCUUAAAAACAAUUUUGAUAAAUGUUAAUUGCAUUUACCAAACUCUUACCUGUUUCAAAAAAACAAAAAAUGUAAUAGCUUAAUAUUUACAUGGUACAAUAGUUCCCAUGUGAUUGUUUAACAUCUAUAUAGAUGUUCAUGAUGAAACUUUAUAAUCCUGCUACAGGUACUACUCUAUGUAUGGACAUGUAGAGAAGCUCGCAGAAGAGAUAAAGAAAGGAGCUGCAUCUGUUGAAGGAGUUGAAGCCAAACUAUGGCAGGUAUGUGCUAGUUAUUACUGGUUGUUUCAGAUUUGACUCCAUAUUGAAAUAAACCAAGACAAACAAAAUUUGGGAUGCAUGUUUGGUUUCCCAUCUUUUGAAGUAGUAUUAAUACACAUUUUGGCAGAUAUAUGAGCAAGUGGGUACUACUUUUGAUUAAGACUACCUUUUGAAGAGCACUUUGAUUAAAGCUCUGUUCCCUAGUUUAUGGAUUGUGAGGCACUGUUAAUUCAAUAAAGUACUAGAUUCUGAUCUUUUAGCAGGUUCCCUACUAUAGUACCACAGAAAAAUUGAAGUAAAUGUAACACGGAUUUUAAGGGGCGUAAAGAGAUACAUCCACAGAGAAAAGGGUACAUGGGCUUGCAAAUGAUUAACUUGUAAUGUUAUUGUGUGAUUACCAAGAAAAAAAAUUGUCAAUGCAGUUGGUACACUUGAUUAGUGAGAGGAAAAAUUAAUCUAGUGAUUUUGUCCUUUCUAAGGUUCUAGAAGUGAUGAGUUGUAUGUUUCAGUUGAAUGGCUAAUCCAACUCACCAUCAUUUCCUAAUCUUUUUCCUAACUGUUUAAGAGUUGGUUGCAUGUUCUCUCAAUUGCUGUCCCUCUUUCUCUAUCUAUCUCUGUCUGUCUCUCUUAAAAUUUUGCCGUAUUUAGUAUUUUGAGUGAGACAUUUUUUCAGUAUCUGAGUUUCCAGAUUUUUUGUCACUAUUUCCAUCAUGGUUUUGUUCUUGGUUGGUUCUAAUUUUAUCCGAAAACUUCCACAUGUUCUUGUCAUAGUUAUGAUGUCAUGAUCUAGCAUCUCUGCUCUCCCUUAUUUUGUAAAAUUCCUGCAGCCUAUACGCUUUCUAGUUUUCACUCCAGAUUUUUGAUAUCUAUCCAUCUUAAACAUCUUUACCUUAAAUAUUUUUAGUUCUUCAACAAGUCUUGUGACAAGAAAAAGGUUUCUUAGUUGUCCCUGUGGGCUGCUCUGGAUGUUGAGACUUGGCUUUUAACUUGAUUGAGAUAGCUACCAACUGUAAUUUUUUAAGUACAUCUCUUGAAAUUUCAGUUUUGUGAUUCUUUGUAAAUUUCCAAUGGAUGUAAUACUGGAAAUUGUCUUCACCAAUUUUUGAAGGACAGGGACGUUUACUUUCCUAAUUACUUCUGUCGGGAAGGUUGUUGCCACCUUUAAACAUUCUUUGCCUUGUGCAAGCAAAUGUUUCCUACUUACUGUUUAACAGAAAUAAAAAUUCUUAAUACUCUAGUCUAUGUUUCGAGUUCUUUUCUAGUUUUAUUCUUCCCUACAAUACGUAAAAGAAAAUACUCGAGCUAACUUUCGGAUGCAUGGGGAACAGGUUCCUGAGACACUACCAGAGGAGGUCCUUGGCAAGAUGAGUGCACCACCAAAAAGUGAUACACCAAUAAUUACACCGACUGACCUUGCUGAGGCUGAUGGAUUUGUUUUCGGCUUCCCUACAAGAUUUGGAAUGAUGGCUGCUCAAUUCAAAGCGUUUCUUGAUGCUACUGGUGGCCUAUGGAGAACACAACAGCUUGCAGGUAAACCAGCUGGGAUCUUCUAUAGCACCGGAUCUCAAGGUGGUGGACAAGAGACUACUGCGUAAGUCCAUAUAUCAUAGUUACCUAGUUGAUCAACCCUUGAAAAACUUUCAGAUCCAAAGAAGAACUAACUUGAAAAUUUUUGAGACAUUGCAGGUUGACUGCAAUUACUCAGCUGGUUCAUCAUGGGAUGAUCUUUGUUCCCAUUGGAUACACUUUUGGAGCUGGGAUGUUUGAGAUGGAGAAGGUGAAAGGCGGGAGUCCCUACGGUGCAGGAACUUUCGCUGGGGACGGCUCAAGACAACCAUCUGAGCUCGAAUUGGAGCAAGCUUUCCACCAGGGGAAGUACAUUGCUGGCAUCACAAAGAAACUCAAGGAAGCAGCUUAAUAUCCAUUCCCUAUUCUGAGAUUGUUUUGCAUUCUUCCAUUUUUUCACUUCUAGAAUUUAAGUUCCGUAUUUCUAUGUGAUUGCCAAAAAAACAAAAAAAAAAAAGAAUAAUUGUUGCUGUGUUUGGCAUAUGCUCUAUGUGUUGUAUGUACUCAGAACAUUGGUUUCUGUUAAUGAUAAAGUAAGAUUGCUCAUCCAACUUGAAAAAAUGUCCUCUUUCUCCCCCUUUCACACUAAACCCAGAAUUUUAUAUUGGUAACAAUUAAUCCCUGUCAUUUUCUAUUGGUUUCUGGUAUAGAUUAGGUAGGUGAGAGGUCCUUCCUUUCAGCAGUGAAGGUUGGAAAUUUACUGGGAUUGAGACUGUUAACGGGGGGCUUUAAUCCUACACACCACCUGGAUUCUACCAAUGAAGUCCUUAGGAAUGUAAUCUAAAAUUUGGCCUAAUCUUUGAUGUUACAGAAGGAAAGUAGGGGUGGAGAUGAUACACUCCACAGAUUGGACAGCUAACAAGUACCUACUACUCUUGACUAUGUAUUAAUUUCCUAGCAGCAUAUAUUCCUUGUAAAGUGCAUUCAAUUCCAUCCAUCACGCCCAAUUCCCACCAGCAAAAUCAAAUCUAUACCCCAAAAUCUGGAAAUUUGUUACUUUCUCCUCCAUAGUCAACACGAGACCUAAAUUUCCAGAAGCUAGUCUUCAUCACAUCCAUAUCAAUCGUCCUUCCUAGUAGGUGUGACCAAAAUUUUAUUGAAAUGAGGUGAGGUGUAUUAUAAGCUGUAAUUAUUAUAGGUCACAAAAUUCUUGUUCGCUUAGUGAAGCACACGUUACAAAGAAAAUUUGAAGCUUUUUAUUAUUACAGCCGAAUGUAAUAAAGCAUUGCUUGGUAUGGUGGCUAGUAAUGAUAGUGUCCCUUUUGUGGACUUCUCUGCUUUGCUUCAUGGAUACGUGGAGAAGGUCAUGGAAAAAAAUUAUUACAGCCAAUCAAUCCAGAGCCCCCCAAAUAUAAUUCCAAUUUCCAAUAUAUAUAUUGGAAUUGAAAAUGAGGAAGAAAACCAAAUCUCAUUCUCUUUAUAGCUUCUACUACUCUCUUCUAAGUUAAGGAUGAUAAUGCCCAUCAUGUCUUAGUUUUAAAUGAAUUAUAAAACUAAAAUUUUAUAUGAUAUUUAUUUAUGUAAUCUAAAUUUUUUUUAAAAAUGAAAAAAAAUUAAAUGGGAUUUCUCAUGCCCGCCACGCUCGAUUUAUUGUAUUUUAUUUUAUUUUUUUGAAAUAGAAAUGAAAAUAUAUUUAAAUAAUUGAAACAGAGUUGAGAUAUGGAUGUUCCUAUCUGAAACCCAUUUCUUAUUGUCUUCCCUACUUUUACUUUUACAUGGGAUUAUGAUUCACCCCUAUUUUUAUUCUUAUUCUCACCUACCAAAAACACUACUAAUUAAUUAUAUGUUUUCGAUGCGGUAUUAUUAUUUUCAACGACUAAAUAAUACUAUAAAUUUCUAAUCGUCGUAAAUUUUGAAGCAAUUUGAGUCUCAUUUCAUUAGUUUAAAGUAAUUUAGAAUGUAAUCGAACUCAUUCUAAACUUAGGUCUAAUGAGAAGCCCUAAGUAGCAUCACUCCAAGAAAGCUACUUUGGCUUACAAAGUGCUUUCAAAAUAAACAAAGAAAACUAAUAAACCCUGAAUCAGAGAAAGUUGGCCUACAUUAGCAUUUGGACGUCACCAUGGCCCAUGGCCCUUUAGGAAUCUAUAAACUUAGAAAAGAAAAGCUAAAAUCCAAAGAAAAGAAAAGCUGGAAAGAGCUUGGAGUCAAUAACACUACACCAGUAUAAUAACCCUGAUAAUGAUUCCUUGAGGCUUACUUUUUGUUUUCAUUUUCCAGGAAAGCUGAUCUUCCCCAAGAAAAUUAAUUCUAGUUCUCCAUAAAGUCCUGGAUCACCAGGUUCUGAUCCCCAAAAAAUUCCAUAUGGUACCCUUGAGCCAAUUGCUAAGUAAGAUGUAAAGUUGGUUUCAAAUAUAUACCAAUCAAGUAGAUUUUCUGAUGAAACUACUUUUUCUUUUCUUCUUUUUCCUUUUUUUUCCUGGUAGAAUCAUAUAAAGUUGUUGAUGAUUUAGUCUGUUAUCUCAAUGAUACUUCAAGAAUAAGUAUUUCUUUUUCUGAGAGAUUGCCAUUCCACAAUCCACAUUACACUACUGGGAAAAUUACCUGGAUUAUUCCUAAGACUCAUUGUUUUUCCUUUCUUUUUUUCUUUCAAUUUUUUGAACUUUUUUUCAUCAUCAAUCAGAAUCCGAAUCUUCAUUUAUAUUCAUGAAGAAGCUAAAUGUAGGAGUUUAUUCCAAGCCGGAAGUAGGAAAUGUUUUCUAUUCUUAAAUAAAGAAAGGAAAAAGAAAAAAAAUAAUAUUAUAAAUAUAUUUGAUAAUAUAUUUUUUAAAUAUAUUUUAUGAUAUUUACAUCGGAAAUGGAAGGAAGUUACUAAAAUAUAUAUGUUUGGGUUCAUCUUAACGUAUUUUAAAGUCGUAUGGGCUCAUUUGGAUCUAGAGUGAUCAAUCCUACACAUAAGUCAUUUAUUAAAAAUUAUUAAAUUAUUUUUAUAUUUUAGAACAAAAAAAUUGAUAAAAUAAAACUAGUCAAUGUUUUUAUUUUCAUAAAGAAAGGAAUUUCUAAGAAAAUAAUUUUCAUUUGUGUUGUUGGAUCAAAGUAAUACCAAAAUGUUUGAAUGUUGUGAACGAUUAUAAAAAUGUCAACCCAUGCUUAUUAUUUUAAUUUUCUUGACAUGACUUUUCUCUAUUUCAAAUUCAUCGUACAAGAAAAUAUAUUUUUUCCCGACAAAAAUCUCAAAUGAAUUAUAAUUUCAACGUUAAGAAGUAACGUUUACCAAAUUUUGGAUGUUGUCUUUAAUGCUAAUUUUCUCAAAACUUUUCUUGAUGAGUUCGAACUUUUAGAAAUUAUAAGAUCCUAUUGAUGAAUUGAAGAUUAUUAGUAUGUGGCUGAUAAAAUACAAAUAAACAAAAAGGAAAAAAAUUAAAACCAGAAGAAAACAAUAAAGAUGGAAAUGGAUGUCAUGCUCCUAUUCAAGAUGUGUUCUCAGUCAUUUUCUAUUUCUGUUUAUGGCCAUCAUCUUCUGUCCAAGGGAAAUGAUAUAAAUGAAUGGAUGUUGAUGGUGAUUUUGUUUUUUUUUUCCUCUUUCUAAUUGAUGCCACUAAACAUCCAACUAUACCAAAAUGAUAAACCUUUUGAAAAAUAUGUAAUUCAUCUAAUUCAAAAUUUCAAACUUAGAAUUGAAAUUCAAAAGAAAGAAAAUUAUAUCAUGUCAUUCCAAAUAAUACCAGAAAAAAAUUAUAAAAGAAAGAAGAAAGGAGCUAGAACCAGUAACAUGGUUCCAUUGAGGAAAGAAAACCAAUGGAGAGAGAGAGAGAGAGAGAGAGAAAGAGAGAGAGAGAGAAGAAGAGGAAGAUUUGUCAUUGUUCUCUCUCCCCUUCCAAUGGAGCCUCCUCAAUGUGACCAUUCAAUGAAAAGCACAAAAGCAAGACUGAUAGCUCCUGCACAUACCCACAAACAUUCCCCCAUUUCUAGGUUUUUAAAAAGAAAUUAAACCAUGCCAAAGAAAACAAAAAUUGUGAGAAAAAAAAAAGAGGAGAAAAAACCAAACCCUAAAAGGUGGAGAUGUGGGUCAGCCUCUGACUACCACUAACAUAUUCCAAUCACAUAAACAAAUCAAAAGUGAAAGAUUUCAAAUCAAUUUGAGACCUCCCCACAUACACUCACUUCUAUUCUGGAAUUCAAUUAUUCCCUUCAUUUCUUUUCUCUUUGUUUCCACUUUUUUUCUUUCUUCUCUUAAACUAAAGGUAGUGCCAGCUCUAUUCACAUUCAAAUACAGACACAAAACAUGAACAAAUAAAACCUUCUAGCUAGCUUAGCAGCUUUAUCCUCCCUUUCUGCUAAAUUCACCUACUAAUUAACAACAAAUUAUCUCUAAAACUAAGCAUUAGCACCUGUUCCAAUUAAUCCUAAACCAUGCCUCCCACCCCUAGUACUUAUCCAUAAUUCUUCAAUCAUUACAACACUUUAUUCAGCCUCAUUGGUGCCAAUUAUCAGCCAAACCUGCAAACAUUUUCCUGUUGUUACCCUACUAAUGGCCUGUUCUUUGAAGGGCCAUCUCCUCCUUCCUUGUCUGUCACCAUUUCUUUAAUUAGUACAUGGCUGGCUGCUGUGUUUUUCUGUACUUUUGUUGUUGUCGUGGUUGAUCUUAUCAUUCCCAGCUUGGCUAGGGUUUGAUUAGGUAGAUAGUAUAGUCGGGGAGAAAUAUAUUAAUUGGUUUCUUUGCCUCAGACUUCGAUGGCUCAGUUAAUUUCCUCUACCUGAAUGUUCCUCCAAAUGUAGGUGUCCAGAAAUCAACAGAGGUCUCAUGGGUGACCGGGAAGGUGCUUGAAACGGGUACUAGACACAGUCCUCGGCUUCUGAGAUCCUGUCUGGGUCCUUCAGGCUCCUUAGACUUCUCAGAAUUCUGCAUGUUUGGUGAGAAAAUGGAUUUCAGUUGAAGGAGAUGGAAAAAGAACCUUAAAUCUAUCCGAUACUAAACCAACUUAUCAUCACUCAAUUAUUUUACGCAAAUAUAGCAGGAAAGAAAGAGAAAAGAAAGAGAAUUUUGUACCUGCUGGUGUUGUAUGGAUGCUCCACUUUUCAUGUAUGGAGUACUCAAAGCCUGAUAUUAUAUGGAAAAAAAUUAAUAGAAUAUGUAUUAGAAAUGGCUGAAACUUCUAUACAUUUUGUUAGUUCAUCAAUGGGAAUAAACUAUUUGCUUCUCUAUCAUCAAACUUACACUAACUUGUUCAUGGAGAAACUUGAUGUAUUCAAUAGCUUCAGAGAGCACUGAGGCUGUGUCAGUCUGAAAAAACAUAUAGCACGAUCUAGAUCAAUCAAACAGCUGGUAAGAUUUAAUGAAUUCAGAAGGAAAAUGACAUCUCAUGACAUUCCUCCAUAGCUAAAAAAGUACUGUUCAUUCAUGAGUGUUCGAUUACCUUUCCGAAAGGCGAAACCAAUUGUUGGAGUGCAGUGAUUCUGUCCCCCAUCUUCUCUUUCCUCACCUAAGAGCAUAGGUAGAAGUUCUCAUCUAUGUCAAUGAAAAAAGGGGGGAAAAAAAGCUAAGCUUAAAGCUCCCUCUUGUCAAAAGAUUUUUUGAACUUAUGUACCUUAAAAGCUGGCAAAGGCGAUGGUGUCUCACUUCGUGGCCUUUUGGUUCCUGUUUCACCGCUACUUUUCUUCGCCACUGAGCUAAUGUCCCGAAUCUCUGAAGAAUUCUGUUGGAAAAAUUGAUAGAUGAAAGAUAUUAACAUCAAAACCUGAAUAAAACAUAAAACCCUAAUCAUAAUAAAGAUGUUACCUUGUGCAACCCAAUCAUGUAUAUUAAUAGUUAAUCACCUUUGGUUUUUCAUUGAAGGUAGGUGUGGAAAAUUGAGGUUGCAAGGUUGGUGAGAAGCUGGGUCUACUGUCAGCAGCCAUGGCCGCCGCGGAUGCAUUCCAAAAGGGCGCGUUGUUGGAGAAGUGUAACUGGGUAUGCGAUGGCUGUUUUGGAGGUGAAGUUCGCAAGAAUUGAGGGACUUUAGACCAGGAAGGCAAGAACUCAUUAGAGUUAACGCCAUAGGUUCCUAAAUACGGAUAAUUCAUCGGUCGGUUCUCGAAGGAAGACUGGUUUUGCUGAUGAUCUGAUCCCAAUAGUCCUUGUAGUAUGGUGGAAGGACUACCAUACACUGAGGAAUCUACCUGAAAACUUGUCGGUAGGCCCUGGCAUGUCACCGUACUUUCACCGGGGCUGCUAUGGGAACUAAACUGCGGCUGAUCCAGCGAAAAACCCCGGUUCACUUGCUUAUACUCGGUCCCUGAUGAAUCUUCACAGCUCCCCGAAAAUAGUUUCUGCCUCCAUUGAGCUUGAUCUGCGUUAAAAUUCGAAUUCGAGCUCAUGUCUUGAUCUUGAAGCAUCGAACCGAAGCUGCUCUCAGCUUUUCCACUGCGCCUGUACAAAAUUUUUAAGUAAAGCAAAAUCGAAUUAUUUAUCUUCUAGAGAGUUUUGAUCGAUCCUUGUUUUAGGGUUUCAGACUUCACUUACAAUAACGCUUGGUUCCAAUCCAUGGCCUGGGAUGAUAGGCCUAGACCCAUCAUCUGCAAAUUGGGAUCCGCCAACACGCCACCACCGCCGCCACCGCCACUGGAAGAAUCAGGCCCUUGCAUCUUCUGGGUGUCCGGAAAAACAACGGAGGUAGUACCGGAGACCGACACCGAAUCCAUGGAAGCAGACCUAGUUGCCUUGAUGUCCACCAUAUCCGGUUGCCAUGCAUAGCUUCCCACACUCGUGAGCACAGUAGACGCAGGCGAUGAAGCGCUUUCAUACCUGUUCCUCGAUGAAUCCCACCAGUUUCCGCUGCAAAUACCGGUCUGAAACUCAUCCGCCAUGGCUGGGAAUUAAGCUGAAAAAGCUGCUUCGUCGUCUUCUUCCUCUUCUUGUGCUUUCCGUUUGAUAUUUUUGAUGAUGAGGCUAUGCAGUUUAGACGCUUCACCUUCUGAUCAACCUCUCUUCUUCAGCUUCUGUACUUGCAAAGGGUACCAUGAAAUAAUGAAACACGAAUAGCUGCAUCUCAGCUAUUUAUAUAAAUAAGAAACCAUUUCGGUGUGUCCAUGAGACUCCGGUUGGAAUUUGGUUGACAUUUCAAGCAUGACAGGACAGAAGGAAAAGUCAUUUUGAAAUUGGAAAUUCAUUUUCCUUUUUCUUUUUUUUUCUCUCUUUUUUUUUUUUUAAAAAAAAAUAAAUUUAUAUAAAUAUAUACAUAAAUAAAACUUUCUUUUAUACAAAGCUAUUGGGAGGAAAAAGUAUAGAUAGAAAUUGCCCAAUCAGGGGAUGCCAGGUCAAAAGGGUGUUCCUUUUUUCUACCUCACCAAACUAUGUUAAUAUUUUUUUAUUUUUUUUUUGGUUUGGAGGAAUAUCUUUUGUGGGUUGACCUUCGUUUCUCAGUGGCAAAGAGGUCAAGAGUGGGCUUGGAUUAUCUCCAAAGUUCACAACUUAGAAUUUCUUAUUUUCUCUUUCAUACAUAAAUAAAGUUUUAAAUAAUUUGUAUCAUAAAUAAUUUUUUACUAAUUUUAUAGCAAACCAAAUGAGAAUUUGGAUUUCUUUCCAUUUUUCCCCCUUUCUCCAAUACUUCCACAAUGGAAAUUGAUUUUUGGGUAAAAAUAUCAUUCAUUAAAUUGAAAUUUUGAAUCAAGAUUAUCAUAAUUAUAAAUUUACUUUUUACCCACUUAAUUCUUUAUUUCAAUUGAAUUAAUUGGACAUGACAUUAAUUUCUAACUCAUCUUUGAUUAUUAUACUUCAAUUGAAGUUGAAGCGUGUGGAGAACAUAAAUUUAAAGAUAAGAAGUACUUAAUGGUAUGAUCAAUUACAAAUUAUCAAAAAAGCAAAAAGAAUUAUGUAGUAAAUGAGUUGACCUAAUAAUAUGAAUUUUAUUAUUUUGUUAUUUAUCAAAGUAAAACAAUGACAAUAAGUGAAUAUCAAGUAGGAGAGCACCAAAAUAAAGUGCCUUUAAGAUAUGGUAGAGACCAUGCAAAAACUUAUAUUCAACAAAUGCGUAAAAUCAUCAAAUAAGAAUACUUAUUUUUUGUCAUGUCAACUCCAAUAGAAAAACAAAUUGAUAAAGAAAAAAUUGAAGUAGUCUUCCUAAGGUAAAUCAUGACUGUGUUUGGUUCAUAAAAGAUGUUCUGUAAUAUUUUUUAUGGUAUAGUGAAAAGAUUUUUCCUUAUUCAUAAAUGUAAAUAUGAUUAAUUGAAUUACAUUCAAACCUUGUGUGAAAACUAGUAUUAUCUGUACUAAAGUUUUUAUUGGCACAAUACCAUCGAGUAUUUUCUUGAAACACAUGAAACUUCGAGGAAGUGGUUUUCUGUCAUGCUUUUCAUGAUUAAAUUGUUAAAUAUAAAUAUUUUAUAUUAAAAGGAGCCUUUUUUGUUCAUUAUUUUCAAUUUUCCAACUAGCCAUGAGUAGAUCCAUAUUUGGACCCAAGAUUGACCAAAACAAGGAGCCAACCCACCCCCCCAUAUUUUAUCAUUAAUUUUUCUACAAACACAACAUCAAGAAGGAGGCCAGUUGACGAUCACCUUAGUGCGUCAAACCCUAAGAGAGAGAGAUUGUGUCAAAAUUGUAGUCGAUGGUAUGAGAAAUUGUGUGGGUUGAGAGCAACACAUCUCUGAAAGUACCACAGUUCCUUUGUUGACCAAUUGUUCCCAUUUAUUGGUAAAAAAAAAAAAUAUCUCAGUCUCUGGUUUAGACUUUAGACUUUUGGUUAGGUGAAUCUUUCCAUUUCUUUCUGUUAAUUUUGGGUUAUGUCAAAUUUAAAUGAUUGCUUUUCUCGUGUUAAACAAGUAUUUUGUCUUCUACACAGGUAAAUUACAUUAAUUUAUGCUAAUCACCCACAUCUAAUCUCUAUAAUUGUCCCCAUGAUUAUUAAUACCAUGAAGCUACAUGGGUAGAAUUUUUUAUUUUUUUAUUUUUUUUUUGGGGAGCUUGAUAAAUAUCUAUUUUGUUGGCCAUUUAAGCUUGGGGGCAGAAGAGGAAUGGGAUUGAUGGAAGGUGUGUGUUCUCCUGGAAAUGGAAUUCCAAGGAGGCGGCAGGUGGGAGUUUCAGGUGAAGAUGAUGGGUGAUGGGUGAUGGGUGAUGAGGAGAGGGAAGAAGAAUGAGCGGAAAACAAAAAAGUCAACUGAGUGUGCGUAGGGUCCACGCGGCGUGCACGCGUGCACAGACACGUGGGACCCUCACCCUCCAUCCCUCCUAAGAGUCAGAGCCCUGACACUGAUUUAUUCCUUCUUCCAUCCUAAUCAUUUGACUCCAACCCCACCUCCCAUUUUCUCUUAAUUUCACACCCUCCCUUUCUUCACCAUCUUUUUUUCUUUCGUCUCUUUGCUUCUUCGUAAUAUCAAAAACAUCAUGAAUCAUGUCCAAGUCUACUUAGAUUUUAUUAUUUUAUAAUUGAUGAUAUUAUUUUCCAUUUUAAUUUGUCAUUGGUCUAUACACUGAAAUUAGAUUUUAUUUUAUUUUAUUACUAUCGAUGCAUUCAUCUUGACCUGAACGUUCGAUAAAAAAUGAAAUUUAAUCUAUUCCACACAAUGCACUCAUUUUUAACAUAAGAUCAUUUCAAAGUCGUAACUUAUCUAAUACGAUUAUUUUAUAAUGAUGGUUUUUUUCAAGAUCUCAUAUUAUUUUAGGUUCUAUAAUUUAAAUUCAUGAAUUAUCUUCAAUAAUAGUUAUUAGGAUUAGAGACUUAAUUAUCUUAUUUAAAGGUUAAUUGAUUAUCAAUAAAAUACAAUUAAUCCUUUUAUUGUGAUCCAAUAUCACAUUAAUUUUGAGGUUUAAUCAUUCAAAAAUAUAUGAGAUUUAUAUAUCCCAUAUAAAACAUUCACCUCUAAGUCUUAACUCAUCCCGAGACUUUAACGAUACUUAACCACUUUCAAUUUUAUACCCUCUUUCAUCGGUGAGUUUUUGUUAUAUCUAUAACAAUCCUUCUCCCAACGUGUAGCUAUGCCUUGACCCAUAACCUAGAUAUCAUUCCAUUUAUUACUAGUUUUAAAGUAAUUAAAUAAGCUUAAUUAUUUUUCUCAAAAGAAUCUCAAAGUCCAUAAAAUGACUCCCAACUGUCCAUGGAGUCUCCCAAACACCAUCAAUUACUACUCAUAGUUGGAGUCUCCUUAUUGGAUUGUCCCACUUCCCCUCAUCCAUCCAUGAGAACUCCUGAAAAUAGAGUUUGUCUCCACCCACUGAUAAUCAUUUCCUCCAUAUAUAACCCAAUCAUAAACCCUAAAAAUAAUAUCUCCAUUCCCAUGUGAAUAUAAACCAAUACUCCUUUGUUUACUUCUUUGUUUACUUCUAAUAAAUCAUAAUAUUGUUGUUUAAUUUCACUUGGCAUUUAGAGAAGAGAGAGAGAGAGAGAGAGAGAGAGAGAGAGAGAGAUGAGUGGAGAAUUGUGGGUUCAAAAUUAUGUCACAGUGUGAUAAGGCUGAGGUGUGGAAAGGGACAAAAUAAGAAGAAGAGACAAGGCAGAGGAGGGGUGAGUGAGCUGAGAAUGGGUGACCAUGUGUUGCCUCCAACUCCCAUUCCAUUCACAUGUUUUCUUUUUGCUCAAUUCAAACCCCCCUUUAAGUCAACCCUAAACUAGAGUAAAUCAUGAACCGCGUUUUAGCCGCCCAUUUUUCUUUUUCUUUUCUUUUCUUUUUUUAAUUUCACUUUUUCUCUAUAUUAAAAAAAUCAUCCAUCAAAUUGUUUGUUUCAUGGGAAAAAAAAUAUAUCUUAUAUUGUGUGUACUAUUUAUGACUUUGAUUUAGACAACCAUUUGAGUAAGAGUAGGAUGAGUAGGAUGAGUUUAUUGAAAAAUAAUACGAUUAAGUCGUCCCAUUUGGAAGACCUUCUUAUAUUUUUUUAAGAGCAUUUGGAUAAACUUCUAUAAUUUUUAUAGUAUUUUUUUCUUAAAUACGAAAAAUAGUUUUAUUUAAUUAAAAUUUUAAAAAUGUUUAAAUUAUUCUUAUCUUUAAAUUAUAUUUUUAAUAAUUUAAGUUAUAUUUGGUUUUGAAAUAUACUAAAAAUGAAAAAAAAAACAUUUUUUCAUGUAGAUAAAAUUUAUACAGAAAUUUUAAGUUAUUUAAUUUUUAUAUUAAAAAUAAAAAUAAAUUUAAAGAAUCAUAUGAAAAUAACAAGAGUAUGAUGAGUUUGAUAAUAUAUAUGGUUUAAUUAGUGUUUUAAAUUGGCAUUUAAUUGGAUUUGUGAUGUGAUAAAAUGGUGACCAGGAGUGAGUGACAUCAAAUGGGACAAUUUUUUAAAGGCAUAGAUGGAAGUCAAGAGAUUAUAACCAUUGAGGAGUAGUCAACUGAUAUGAUUUUGGAGAUUGACUUGUGCAAGAGGUGACACUUCACAUUGGAUGGUUCAAAUUUGAUAGGUUUUCCUUGUGAGUGGGUUUCUAAUUUGGGGGUGUAGCUUUUAAGAAUGAGAAUUUUAUUUUCAUUUUUUAAUGACUUAAUAUCCUAAUAUUCUAUUAUUAGGUCUUCAAAGGAAAUGACAAAAAAAAAAUACCAAAAGGAAGAAAAAAAAAAAAUCGAGUCAACAAGAUAAUAAAAACCACUACAAUAAAGCACUACACAUAAACAUUUUCCUCACUAUAAUAAUUAUUGAAGUUAUCUUUUUCUUAUUAUGUAUUUGUUAAUAAAUAAUUUGUUCAUAAAUAAUAAAUUUACUAUCAUGGAUUCAAUAAUAUUAUAAAGUUGUCAUAUAGAUCAAAUGACUCGAUUCUUCAUAUGCUCAUACAUUUUUUAUUUAUCAAAUUAGAAAAUGAGCUGAUCUGUGCAGAAUCCUUUAACUAUAAAUAUUCUCAAACGUAACAGGUAUAAUUAACUCAUAAAUGAUCAAAGAUAUCCAUUGGAAUAAUGCCACUAACUUUUCUAAUAAUUCGAUAUUUUUCCACGAAUAUUCUUUGGAUGUUAAUAUAUUGCAUACCAUGUACCAUACAAUUGCCUAGUUUUAGUUUGCUUCAUUUAUAAAGUGCAUACUUUGCCUAUUCACUAUAAAAUACUACCUUAUCCCGACUUCAACCCCCACACAUUGAUAUAUUCCUCAUACGAAACCAACUAAGACUCCACUUUGUUGUGCUAGAGUAUCUGAUAAACAAUAACCAAAAGAUGGUACUCUAGCUUUUAAAAAGCUGGCUCCAAAGGAACAGUAGGUCAUGGUUUUCAACCCUAGAAAAUUAAAAUAAUGCAAAUAAAUGAUUUAAAAAUAGCCCAUAUAUCACCCCUUGUUUAUUAUUCUAAUAAUUAACAAGAUGUAUAUGAUAGAUGGUUUAGUGACAACAUAAGAUAUUCAAGUUAGUUCUAAGGAUUUGACAGCCCCAUUCAAGAAGAUAAUCAUAAAAUAUGAAAUCUUAAAGUCCAAAUAAUGGGCUAUAUAAAAAACUAAACCCUAAAGUUUUCUCCUUCACUAACUUGUCCAAAUCCUUGCUAUCCUCACCAACCCUAAUCCAAAUACACCCCCUCUUUAUUGUUAUAUUUCUUUUUGAAUUUUGGAAGACAGACCCAUUUGGACUUCCUUGAGAUAGAGAUUUUUUUUGUUUUUUUUCUGGGUAUGUGCCUUAUAGGACCUUCUUUCUUU